CAGCCGCCGCGGGAAAACGUAGGGUGCGAGCGUUAAUCGGAAUUACUGGGCGUAAAGCGUCUGUAGGUGGCUUUUCAAGUCCGCCGUCAAAUCCCAGGGCUCAACCCUGGACAGGCGGUGGAAACUACCAAGCUGGAGUACGGUAGGGGCAGAGGGAAUUUCCGGUGGAGCGGUGAAAUGCGUAGAGAUUAGGAGGAACACCAGUGGCGAAGGCGGCUUUUUGGCCUGUAACUGACACUGAGGCGCGAAAGCGUGGGGAGCAAACAGGAUUAGAUACCCCUGUAGUCCCUGUCUCUUAUAC
rnacentral:rRNA from 1 species